rnacentral:lncRNA from 1 species
AAAGGUGUUGCACUGAAAUGUACUAACUGAUAAGGAAUAUAUGAUCAUUUUACUAAAGUCUGUAGGUCAGAUCCCCAAACAAGAUGUCUUCUCCUAUUCUCAAGGCUGGGAGAAAAAUGUAUGAAACUAUGUAGUUUGUUAUGUCCUUAAUGUGUUGUCUGCCCCACUUUGCCCUCCUUACUGGGGGCCAGCCUUUUUGCCUAGGCAAACUAAGCAUCAAUUUAUGCUCAAAGACUUCCCAGAACGGCUAGGUGAUUGCAGCUGCAUAUUUUACUUGUGUCUAGGAGAAAAGCGUAACUGUUUGAGCAGAGUAUCCUGUCCAAAUGGCUUGUCACUCCCUCUUGCUUGAAGAAUGGAAAAUGGAGAACUUUCUGCUUCCACAUUCAAAAAAGGUUGGGAGUCCUUCUUCCCUACCAGGCCUCAUGAAAAGGCACACUAUCCCAUGCCACAGACAGUCUGAUGAAGUAAAAGGAAAAGAAGCUGAGGAACAGAAAGGCAUGGUACUCACGUAGUCACCACAAUGCAAGUCCCUCAUCUCAAUCAGAUUUGUCUCCAGCAAGGAUCCAGCAUGGAGUUUAUACUCUUAGGAGUGGUACUGUUAGGAAAUCAUCUGUGCCAACUGAUUUAUCUAGGUAAGUUCAUCAUGGCAUUUUUUCUUUUUCCUCACUGACUGAAUGAUCAUGCUAGCGUAGUGCAAGCAUAAAUGCUGUAAUUCACUUUUGCCAAUACACUGCCAAUGUUCAUCAAGCUUGAAUAUAAAAUAAGGUGCAAACAAAGCAAAAGUGAUUUUAUUUAAAAUGUGGGCAAAUAUUUGCAGAAACUAUUUUGCGUUAUUUUCAUACUCUUUUCAGCAUUCUCAGCUCCCAGUGGUAUGAUGAGGGUUUGACAUGCAGAAUGUCUCCCAGAGGUGCUCAGCAAUUUGCAAGAACAGCCCCACAGCUAAUAUCUCUUUGGUUCAAUGGCUUCAAAUAAAUUA